AUGUCAUUCAUUCAAAAAAAAGAAAAACCAAACAAAAAAAACCCAGUGCUUUCAUUUAAAAACCCAGGGUUCCAUUGUCCAAAUCCUAAAGCCAGGAACUACAUAACCGCAGUCACAUCUGAGUGAUUUGGGCCUCACACUGCAUGUUCAGAAUGACUGCAGAUCAUUCAACCUUCAAUGCAGGUAUCCAAAACUGUGUUCCAGACAUAGGACUUACACAGUCCCAUGUCAGCCUUAGUCCUGAGAAACCCGAAAUCAUUUCCAUGCUUCCUUCUUGUUGUCUGUAUCAGUUGGACUGUAAGUCUGAAGUCUUUCAUGAGCUGAAUCCAGGGUCUCCACCCAGUCCAAGGAGGUACUGCAUGUUUAUAUACACCAAUUUAAUUGCCCUAUCAGAACAGUAGAACAAAUACCCAUUUAAGUUCUCUCAAGCUACAUAUUACGAGCUACACAAAUUUUACUUAUUUCCUCUCUACUGCACUACAGGAAAUCUGGUUCCUUCUUUCCUGCUAAGAUUUUGCCCUGACUCAGACUUCAGCCAAACAAGAACUGGCCCAAGUAGCCAGAGAUAGAGAAGCUGAAUUUAAGAUACAAGAAAAUGAAAUUCAUGAGGAAUACAAUGGCAGCACCUUAGAAAGCUGGGAGCAGUACAGAGAAGGGCAAUCGAGCAAUCAAGGACUGGCAUAAAAAGGCAAGGAAUGUUUUCUUCAACGAAUGAGGCGGUGGGUAAAUGGGGAGCUGAUGUAUGUGGUGAAAUAGAAGCUCCCAAUAUCAGAAUCCCCAAAACAAAGUGGAUAUCUGAUGAAAUUCAGAGCCAGUAUGUACAAAAUCAAUUUAUAAAAAAAUCUGAAUUUCUACAUUUGAAGGACUCAAAGAUAGCUCUCCUUUGAGAAGAAUUAGUUUUGUACAACUGCAAAGAACAGCCAUCUGCCUGGUGAAAGAAAGGAAGUGAUGAAAAAUAAGCAGUACGGCUUCCCAAAUACAAAUAGCAAUAGAGGAAAAUAAGGAAUAAGGAUUUAUUAAUUAAUAUUAUCUAGAGGAGUUUCUGGUAGGUAGAUUGCAGUUAGCUGAACAGGAAACCACCUAGCAUAUGAGCACACAGCAUCAUUUAUUAGUGGAAGAAACUUUCUAUGGAAGAUUUGUAUUGAGUGUCCAAAUUGUGGUACAGGAACACAAAGCUGGCAUCAACGUGCAGAAAAGACACACCACUUUUUACUUUUAUUUUUAGAUGACCUUCAGCCCUCAAUACAUCAGGGCACUUCCCAUUGCACUGCUGCCACAGCCAGCUGAGAGCAAGCCUUAGGGAGCAAAGUGCAGCAGCAGUAGAAUGCUGCCAGGCCCCGGCACUGUGCUGGCUCAGGCUGUCUCCAUGCCAGCACAAAGUGUCAUCGCACAGCCAUUAAUCUACUGCUGCUUUAAAACACAACCGCAUCUCCCCUCCUCACUUGCAUGGCUCACUGAAAGCCCACAGCAGAAUCUGCUAGUUCAGCUUUCCCAGUGAACAGAACAAUCAGCUUACUCUGAUAUUGCAAAACCUAGCUUGUGCUAAGAAGGGAGGGAAAAUAAUAGAUGCUCUUAGGUUACCCUGAACUGCCUGUUGGUAUUCACGUUCCAGAAGCCAACUCGUAAAGACAGCAAAUAUGCAAGGUCAGUUAUUUUUGAAACUAAAUCUGCUGGUUCAUGAAGAUACCUGAAGGAGGCCUGCUGCCAGGGAAGCUAAGGGAGCAGGCCUCUGCAUGAAGGAAGCACAUCUUCCUAUCACGCAUAGGAACAGCUCUGGAUCCCGGAGAACAGCUCUUCAGCUGAAGUUCCUCUCUGCCUGUUCAUCAUCCUCUCCCAGAUCACGUGACUGAGAGUCUGGAGAGUUCAAUCCUAUAAAUCAUCCGACCUUGAGGAGAAGCCUGCCAUUACAGCUGCUUUUGUACAAGGGUGCUUCUGAGCAGCUGCAGACUGAAAAGAGCCCCAAACGGUUGCUGCCAGCUGGGUCAGAGCUGCUGUUCAGCAGGGAUCGCUGGGGACUGCAGGCACAGGGUCAGCACUGGGAGAGGUGGCCUGGAAGGUGAGGCCAAGGGUGGGCUUCUAAUGCUGGAUAAAGCAGCUCGACAGAUUGGAAAUUCAGAGACACUAGGAUGAGGGAAAGCCUUGAUUUUGAUCAGUGUUGCAGCUGGAGCACCAACAUAGGGCAGUGUUGGUAACAAGGCCUUGACUGGCAUGCACAGCAACAUGCAACCAAUUCAACGACUAAAGCAAUGCUAUGGGGAAAACUCCUGCUAUCUGGAAAUGAAAUGAGCAAAUAAAUUUAUUCAGCCUGAAGUCUGCAAUAUGCCUUGAUAAGAGCAAAAAGAAGUGUAGUGAAGUGAUACAUUUAGUUUUGAAAGGGGGACAGCCAGGCAGUUGUACUGCUCACAAGUAUGCUCAGACUGUGAGGGGAAAAAGGGAUGAAUGCUGCAGGCUUAUGCUGGGAAACAAAGCUUGGAAACAGAAGAUUCGCAAACCAAAACUGCAAAUAUUAGCAGGUUUUCUGCCUCAUUGCACUGUGAUCAAGGCUUAGUUUUUUUGUGUGUUUUUUGUUCUUUUGAAUGUCAGAUUCCAGUCCCAUUUCCUCUUUCAUUUGUUAUGGUAACUUUAAAACAGUAUCCUUUCUAUUUAACUCUUCUACUUCAUUGUCUAUAGAAGCAAUAUUUUAAAUCUUGGACUGAUGUAGCAGUGACUGGCAAAAGGCAGCAAGCUCGUGAUAAAGAGCCCCUUUUGGAUAAACUCUUCACUGCAGACAAACCGAAUGAUGUCACGUGGUGGAAAAAAAGCACAGGUGGGCUCAAGCAAAUUAGAAAAAGUAUUCUGUGAUACAGCAGGUCCUCUUUGUCCCCAGAUCUGGGGACAUCUCACAGGUAAUCACAUUGCUGUGAGGUAAUUAAGGUUCAUCUGCUAGUUGGAUGAGAUAGGGCUUUUUUAUAUCUUCACUGACUAUUGCUCGUGUCAAGACCAGCUGUGUUCAGUCCUUCUUUUUCCAAACAACAAAAAGGAGUAGAGCUCAGAAUUAAAAAAAAA